GAGUUUGAUCUUGGCUCAGGACGAACGCUGGCGGCGUGCUUAACACAUGCAAGUCGAACGGAAAGGCCCUGCUUUUGUGGGGUGCUCGAGUGGCGAACGGGUGAGUAACACGUGAGUAACCUGCCCUUGACUUUGGGAUAACUUCAGGAAACUGGGGCUAAUACCGGAUAGGAGCUCCUGCUGCAUGGUGGGGGUUGGAAAGUUUCGGCGGUUGGGGAUGGACUCGCGGCUUAUCAGCUUGUUGGUGGGGUAGUGGCUUACCAAGGCUUUGACGGGUAGCCGGCCUGAGAGGGUGACCGGCCACAUUGGGACUGAGAUACGGCCCAGACUCCUACGGGAGGCAGCAGUGGGGAAUAUUGCACAAUGGGCGGAAGCCUGAUGCAGCAACGCCGCGUGCGGGAUGACGGCCUGGUUGUAACGACUUCGUCCUGUGACGAGACGUGAGUGACGGUAAGUAGGG
rnacentral:rRNA from 1 species